UACGUAGGGUGCAAGCGUUAAUCGGAAUUACGUGGCGUAAAGCGUGCGCAGGCGGUUCUAUAAGACAGAUGUGAAAUCCCCGGGCUCAACCUGGGAACUGCAUUGUGACUGCAUCGCUGGAGUGCGGCAGAGGGGGGGAUGGAAUUCCGCGUGUAGCAGUGAAAUGCGUAGAUAUGCGGAGGAACACCGAUGGCGAAGGCAAUCCCCUGGGCCUGCACUGACGCUCAUGCACGAAAGCGUGGGGAGCAAACAGG
rnacentral:rRNA from 1 species